rnacentral:rRNA from 1 species
UAGGGAAUCUUCCGCAAUGGGCGAAAGCCUGACGGAGCAACGCCGCGUGAGUGAUGAAGGUCUUCGGAUCGUAAAACUCUGUUAUUAGGGAAGAACAAAUGUGUAAGUAACUAUGCACGUCUUGACGGUACCUAAUCAGAAAGCCACGGCUAACUACGUGCCAGCAGCCGCGGUAAUACGUAGGUGGCAAGCGUUAUCCGGAAUUAUUGGGCGUAAAGCGCGCGUAGGCGGUUUUUUGAGUCUGAUGUGAAAGCCCACGGCUCAACCGUGAAGGGUGAUUGGAAACUGGAAAACUUGAGUGCAGAAGGGGAAAGUGGAAUUCCAUGUGUAGCGGUGAAAUGCGCAGGGAUAUGGGGGAACACAAGUGGCGAAGGCGACUUUCUGGUCUGUAACUGACGCUGAUGUGCGAAAGCGUGGGGAUCAAACAGG